rnacentral:lncRNA from 1 species
GGAUAUACUAGGUAUGAUAUAAAACAUGUGUUUGGUUGGUUUAUACUAGAUUAACUUUUAUUUCUAAUUUUAACCUUGGCCUUCUUAAAGGACUUGGGUAAAAGAGUUUUGAGAAGGGUUGGCCUUCUUAAAGGACUUGGGGAGAAGUGUUUUUGAGAAGGGCAUAUUUUCCAUAUUGUUGUUUUAUCUCAGGAUUAGUGAUCCUAGGAUUGUUAUCCCACAU